GUCCACGCUGUAAACGAUGGGUACUAGGUGUUCGGGGUAUUGACCCCCUGAGUGCCGCAGCUAACGCAUUAAGUACCCCGCCUGGGGACUACGGCCGCAAGGUUAAAACUCAAAGGAAUUGACGGGGGCCCGCACAAGCGGUGGAGCAUGCUGUUCAAUUCGACGCAACGCGAAGAACCUUACCUGGGCUAGACAACGGCGGACCGCCUGGGAAACCAGGCUUUCCCUUCGGGGACUGCCGGUUCAGGUGUUGCAUGGCUGUCGU
rnacentral:rRNA from 1 species